GACGAACGCUGGCGGCGUGCUUAACACAUGCAAGUCGAACGGAAAGGCCCUGCUUUUGUGGGGUGCUCGAGUGGCGAACGGGUGAGUAACACGUGAGUAACCUGCCCUUUACUUUGGGAUAACUUCAGGAAACUGUGGCUAAUACCGGAUAGGAGCUCCUGCUGCAUGGUGGGGGUUGGAAAGUUUCGGCGGUUGGGGAUGGACUCGCGGCUUAUCAGCUUGUUGGUGGGGUAGUGGCUUACCAAGGCUUUGACGGGUAGCCGGCCUGAGAGGGUGACCGGCCACAUUGGGACUGAGAUACGGGCCAGACUCCUACGGGAGGCAGCAGUGGGGAAUAUUGCACAAUGGGCGGAAGCCUGAUGCAGCAACGCCGCGUGCGGGAUGACGGCCUUAGGGUUGUAAACCGCUUUCGCCUGUGACGAAGCGUGAGUGACGGUAAUGGGUAAAGAAGCACCGGCUAACUACGUG
rnacentral:rRNA from 1 species